rnacentral:tRNA from 1 species
GGACGCGUAGCUCAGUUGGAUAGAGCGCUGCCCUCCGGAGGCAGAAGUCGUGGGUUCGAAUCCCUCCGCGUCCGCCA